UGAUUCUAAAAAAAAGCAAUCUAUAACAAAUGUAUGCUCUUAUCAGGGUUCCCCUUUGGCCAAUUCUCUUUUUCACCGCCUCUUUCCCCAAAGCAAUACAUUUUUUACACUUUUAAUUAUUAUUUUUCCAACUUACAACUAACAUGACUAACAAAAACAUUUUUCGUUGAAAUUUUCAUUCUUUUAAAAAAAAUAAUCACUUUUCCCCA
rnacentral:lncRNA from 1 species